UACGGAGGGUGCAAGCGUUGUUCGGAUUUACUGGGCGUAAAGCGCGCGCAGGCGGGUUUACAAGUCAGAUGUGAAAUCUCGGGGCUUAACACCGAAACUGCGUCUGAAACUGUAGACCUAGAAUAUAAUAGGGGGCAGGGGAAUUUCACGUGUAGGGGUAAAAUCCGUAGAGAUGUGAAGGAACACCGGAGGCGAAGGCGCCUGCCUGGAUGAUUAUUGACGCUGAGGCGCGAAAGCUAGGGUAGCAAACGGG
rnacentral:rRNA from 1 species